rnacentral:lncRNA from 1 species
AAAAGGCGCGACUGUUCACCUCCAUUUAUUAAUACUGGUGAAUUUUUUAUUAUUGUGGAAAGUUAUGACUUAAUUAGUUCUUUUCAGUAACCAUUUUUAUUGAAUUGUGGAUCGUGCCUACUGUUAAUGAGUUGAGGAUGACUUCUUUUCUUACACUAGGUCUUAUUGAUAGAAAAGAAGACCCAAUGGUGGAGUUAAUAAAAAAGAAAUUGGCUGGAGCAAC